GACGAACGCUGGCGGCGCGCUUAACACAUGCAAGUCGAGCGAAGCGGCGGACGGUUGAGUAACACGUGAGUAACCUGCCUUAGACAUUGUGAUAGCCUCGGGAAACCGGGAUUAAUACCAAAUGGUCUAGGAUGGACUUGCGUCCCAUUAGCUAGUUGGUGGGGUAACGGCCCACCAAGGCGACGAUGGGUAGCCGGCCUGGGAGGGAGGACGGCAACAUUGGAACAGGGAGACGGUGGAAACGCUGCGGGAGGCAGCAGUGGGGAAUAUUGAACGAUGGGGGGGACUCUGAUGCGGCGAGGCCGGGUGAACGAAGAAGGCUUUCGAGUCGUAAAGUUCUUUUAUAUGGGAAGCGGUACCAUAAGAAAAAGCCCCGGCUAACUACGUGCCAGCAGCCGCGGUAAUAC
rnacentral:rRNA from 1 species